rnacentral:rRNA from 1 species
ACGCUCGACACCUACGGGGGGCAGCAGUGGGGAAUAUUGCACAAUGGGGGAAACCCUGAUGCAGCAACGCCGCGUGAGUGAAGAAGUAUUUCGGUAUGUAAAGCUCUAUCAGCAGGGAAGAUAAUGACGGUACCUGACUAAGAAGCUCCGGCUAAAUACGUGCCAACAGCCGCGGUAAUCUGAGCGGGCUGGCAAGGC